CGGCGUGCCUAACACAUGCAAGUCGAACGAAGCACUUUUAAAUGAUUUCCUCGGAAAGAUUUUAUUUGUGACUGAGUGGCGGACGGGUGAGUAACGCGUGGGUAACCUGCCUCAUACAGGGGGAUAACAGUCAGAAAUGACUGCUAAUACCGCAUAAGCACACAGUACCGCAUGGUACUGUGUGAAAAACUCCGGUGGUAUGAGAUGGACCCGCGUCUGAUUAGCUUGUUGGCGGGGUAACGGCCCACCAAGGCGACGAUCAGUAGCCGACCUGAGAGGGUGACCGGCCACAUUGGGACUGAGACACGGCCCAAACUCCUACGGGAGGCAGCAGUGGGGAAUAUUGCACAAUGGGCGAAAGCCUGAUGCAGCGACGCCGCGUGAACGAGGAAGUAUUUCGGUAUGUAAAGUUCUAUCAGCAGGGAAGACAAUGACGGUACCUGACCAAGAAGCACCGGCUAAAUACGUGCCAGCAGCCGCGGGAAUACGUAUGGUGCAAGCGGUUAUCCGGAUUUACUGGGUGUAAAGGGAGCGCAGGCGGUGCGGCAAGUCUGAUGUGAAAGCCCGGGGCUCAACCCCGGUACUGCAUUGGGAAACUGUCGUUCUUGAGUGAAGUAGAGGUAAGCGGAAUUCCUAGUGUAGCGGUGAAAUGCGUAGAUAUUAGGAGGAACAUCGGUGGCGAAGGCGGCUUACUGGGCUUUUACUGACGCUGAGGCUCGAAAGCGUGGGGAGCAAACAGGAUUAGAUACCCUGGUAGUCCACGCUGUAAACGAUGAUGACUAGGUGUGGGGGGACUGACCCCUUCCGUGCCGCAGCUAACACAAUAAGUAUUCCACCUGGGGAGUACGACCGCAAGGUUGAAACUCAAAGGAAUUGACGGGGGCCCGCACAAGCAGUGGAUUAUGUGGUUUAAUUCGACGCAACGCGAAGAACCUUACCAGGAUUUGACAUCCUACUAACGAAGCAGAGAUGCAUUAGGUGCCCUUCGGGGAAAGUAGAGACAGGUGGUGCAUGGUUGUCGUCAGCUCGUGUCGUGAGAUGUUGGGUUAAGUCCCGCAACGAGCGCAACCCUUAUCUUCAGUAGCCAGCAGUAAGAUGGGAACUCUGGAGAGACUGCCGGGGAUAACCCGGAGGAAGGUGGGGAUGACGUCAAAUCAUCAUGCCCCUUAUGGUUUGGGCUACACACGUGCUACAAUGGCGUAAACAAAGGGAAGCGAAAGGGUGACCCGGAGCAAAUCCCAAAAAAGCUCUCUCAGUUCGGAUUGUAGUCUGCAACUCGACUACAUGAAGCUGGAAUCGCUAGUAAUCGCGAAUCAGAAUGUCGCGGUGAAUACGUUCCCGGGCCUUGCAC
rnacentral:rRNA from 1 species